rnacentral:rRNA from 1 species
UACGGGGGGAGCAAGCGUUGUUCGGAUUUACUGGGCGUAAAGGGCGCGUAGGCGGUCAGCACAAGUCAGUUGUGAAAUCUCCGGGCUUAACUCGGAAAGGUCAACUGAUACUGUGCGACUAGAGUGCAGAAGGGGCAACUGGAAUUCUCGGUGUAGCGGUGAAAUGCGUAGAUAUCGAGAGGAACACCUGCGGCGAAGGCGGGUUGCUGGGCUGACACUGACGCUGAGGCACGAAAGCGUGGGUAGCAAACAGG